GACGAACGCUGGCGGCGUGCUUAACACAUGCAAGUCGAACGGUCCUGUUUUUGAAGCGUUUCGGCGUGGAGGGAGCGGGGCAGUGGCGCACGGGUGAGUAAAGCGCGAGGACCUGCCCGCCGGAGGGGGACAGCAGUUGGAAACGGCUGGUGAUACCCCGUAAGCCGGGAGGUGAAAGGGCGGCGACGCCCGCCUGCGGAUGGACUCGCGUCCUAUCAGCUAGUUGGUGAGGCAACGGCUCACCAAGGCGACGACGGGUAGCCGGCCUGAGAGGGUGUCCGGCCACACUGGAACUGAGACACGGUCCAGACUCCUACGGGAGGCAGCAGUGGGGAAUUUUGGGCAAUGGGGGAGACCCUGACCCAGCGACGCCGCGUGAGGGAUGAAGGCCCUUGGGUCGUAAACCUCUUUUGCAGGGGAAGAAGCAGAUGACGGUACCUUGCGAAUAAGUCCCGGCUAACUACGUG
rnacentral:rRNA from 1 species